UACGUAGGUGGCAAGCGUUGUCCGGAUUUACUGGGCGUAAAGGGCGUGCAGGCGGUCUGUUAAGUUCAGGGUGAAAGCUCCCGGCUCAACUGGGGAGGGUCAUUCGAUACUGAUCGACUCGAAGGCAGGAGAGGGAAGUGGAAUUCCCGGUGUAGUGGUGAAAUGCGUAGAUAUCGGGAGGAACACCAGUGGCGAAGGCGACUUCCUGGCCUGUUCUUGACGCUGAGGCGCGAAAGCUAGGGGAGCAAACGGG
rnacentral:rRNA from 1 species